rnacentral:lncRNA from 1 species
CAGCAGAAUGAUUGAAUUAGUGAUUGGCUGUAAUGACCUGCCCAGAAUCCAUUCCAUAUUUAAUUGGUCUUAUCAACUUUGUACAGAUAAAGAUUCUUAGAGAAUCACAAAGACAUUGGCUUCAUCAGGACUUUUUGCCUAAGGCUGCUAGAGAGAGCCCAUAUUAUUUUCCUUCCAUCUAACCAAGAAAUGACAAACUGAGAGGACUCAGGAGUGGAGAGAGAAGGCAGGAAAACAGAAAGCCCCAUAAUGCACUGAUAUGUGUCUUACAGAUAAAAUACAGGACGGUUGUAAUCUGGCAUCUAAAAGUGAGAUGUCUGUUGUAGCCAGGGUUUGGAAGGGAAUAGAUUUAAUACAGGAUACAUAACCUAUAGGAUUAUUUUAUAACAUUCACCCAAAAAGUCAAAUGCAGGGGAGUGCAAGAGAUCUGUCCACACACUAGAGACCUGAGGAUCCCACAGCAAUGUCCCAUACAAGUCCAACUAACAGCCUAGAGCCCAAGGCAGUGUCCUCCAUGAGUUCAGCCAGAGGCCUAGAGCCCACAGCAAUGGCUCAUGCAAGUCUGUAUCGAGGAUCUGCACUGAGAAAGCCAAAAGGCCAGUGGUGGAAGCUAGAAAGCCUGCACUGGCAGGGUGAAGGAUUUGUGCCACCAGACUGAGGGAUCUACACUGGAGCCAGGAAGUGAUGUUCAAGGUGAAAAUCAGAGCUUGCCUGAUGAGAACAGCAGCCAUUCCCAGGGACAGCAAGGACAUCUCCUCCUCUGACAAGAACAGCCAAGAUCGCAUCAGGAAAACCAGCCGCGUCAAGCUUCUCCAAGGAAAUCAAAAGCAAACAAUCUUCUCCAGUUCUCUUUUUAUGCCAUUAGCAAUAAUCCUCAGACAUUGUAUUUUCAAGUUCAUCAAUUGUUCCAUCCAAUUCUUUGAAUGGGACAUCAAGAGCCUGGAACCACUGAACACCACACCAUCCAGCAACAGCUUGGCUAAGGUAGGAAGCUCCAAGAUUCUUACUCUCCUCUUUGUAAUUAGUAAGCAAUAUCUGGGGAGAUACUUUGGGACUAUGUAAAUAUAUAAUUUUGUUCUAAAACUCUCCCCACUAUUUUGGGUAACACUGACAAUAUUCUAAUUCCACCAUUUCUUU